rnacentral:rRNA from 1 species
CCCUUAGAUGUCCGGGGCCGCACGCGCGCUACAAUGGAUGAAUCAACGCGUCAUCCUGGCCCGAAAGGGUUGGGGAACCGCUGAACCUCAUCCGUGGUUGGGAUUGGGGUUUGUAAUUAUUCCCCAUGAACUAGGAAUUCCCAGUAAGCGUGAGUCAUAAGCUCGCGUUGAUUACGUCCCUGCCCUUUGUACACACCGCCCGUCGCUACUACCGAUUGGAUGGUUUAGUGAGAUCCUCGGAUUGGUCACGGCACGGUGGCAACACUGCGUCGGUGUGCCGAGAAGACGAUCAAACUUGAUCAUCUAGAGGAAGUAAAAGUCGUAACA